AUUGAACGCUGGCGGCAGGCUUAACACAUGCAAGUCGAGCGGAGAUGAGGUGCUUGCACCUUAUCUUAGCGGCGGACGGGUGAGUAAUGCUUAGGAAUCUGCAUAUUAGUGGGGGACAACAUUACGAAAGGAAUGCUAAUACCGAAUACGUCCUACGGGAGAAAGCAGGGGAUCUUCGGACCUUGCGAUAAUAGACGAGCCUAAGUCGGAGUAGCGAGUUGGUGGGGUAAAGGACUACCAAGGCGACGCUCUGUAGCGGGUCUGAGAGGAUGAUCCGCCACACUGGGACUGAGACACGGCCCAGACUCCUACGGGAGGCAGCAGUGGGGAAUAUUGGACAAUGGGGGGAAUCCUGAUCCAGCCAUGCCGCGUGUGUGAAGAAGGCCUUAUGGUUGUAAAGCACUUUAAGCGAGGAGGAGGCUACUGAGACUAAUACUCUUGGAUAGUGGACGUUACUCGCAGAAUAAGCACCGGCUAACUCUGUGCCAGCCGCCGCGGUAA
rnacentral:rRNA from 1 species